rnacentral:rRNA from 1 species
CCUACGGGAGGCAGCAGUGGUGGAUAGUGCACAAUGGGGGAAACCCUGAUGCAGCGACGCCGCGUGAGUGAAGAAGGAUUUCGGUAGGUAAAGCUCUAUCAGCAGGGAAGAAAAGGACAGUAACUGACCAAGAAGCCACGGCUAACUACGGGCCAGCAGCCGCGGGAAUACGGAGGGGGCAAGCGUUAGCCGGAUUUCCUGGGUGGAAAGGGAGCGUAGACGGUUAGGUAAGGCUGGAGUGAAAGCCCGGGGCCCCACCCCGGGACUGCUUUGGAUACGGUGUAACUGGAGUACAGGAGGGCCAGGCUGCCUUCCUGUUGUCGCGGUGCACUGCGUAGAUAUCAGGCG